rnacentral:lncRNA from 1 species
AAGAAAGGGGAAAGAGUAGAAGCUGCGAUACAGGGGAUGAAGCAGGUGGAAACUUUGGUUCCUGGACCAGAAAAGUUCUCCUUGUCACGUCUGUCUAGUCUUGGAGCAACAAUAAGGUUUAGAAAACUGUUCACUUCCAAGUGCAAGCUACUCAACCCCUGCCCAGCUCUGCACUGUGCCACCCAUUCCAGCAUGGGGAUACUGUCUUCCUCAAGGCCUUUUGGAGUGAAGGACUGACUCGAGCCUGGAAGGGACCAUACAAAGUCAUCCUCACAAUGCCUUCAGAUCUCAAGGUUGACAGGAUCUCAAACUGAGUUCACCAUCGAUGCAUCAAGUGGGUGAAACAGGGGACUGCUGAGCUGGGACCUGAUCCUUUGAAGCUAAGACUAGUGUGAUCAUGAUUGUGACCCUUGUCUUUAUUGUCUUUGGGCUGAUGAGGCUGAACUCUGGGGAAGUACAAUGAAAAGAGUUGCACUCCUUUCUCCUCACCUCCUUUAGCUCAGGAGGAAUUCUAGGUGCCAUCACUUUUGGUACCAUCUACUCCCAACAACAUCUAAGGUUGCCCAAGGUCGAUCUCUGCCAAUGAGUUAGAAAGUACUGGGAAGUGACUUCUAUCAGUUCCUAAACCUGGGAAGCCAUGACUUUUAUGUGUGUCUAGCAUCCAAUCCUUUUAGACAGCUGGGCUGUCGUUCCUCAACUGAUUUCUACUUCCCUAACUGAGGCUGUGUAAAGAUUGCCUCUUAUAGUGGGGACCAAAUGUCACUCAUGUUAUCAUAACCUGUUCAGUUGGAGGCCUUGGGUAACUACACUUAUCACUACACUGGCUUGUUCCCUCAUCCUGCUUUUUCUCAAGCUCUUGAUUGGUGCUAGUAUUCUUAAUUGGAUAAUCAACUUUGCAAGAUAGCAUGUAGCCUCUGUUAAACUGAUGUAUAUGAGAUCCUACUACAAUCCUUUGUAUAACUCCCUGCCUAAUCAAGAGGCUCUCAUUGAGUCAACACUUUGCCAACAUGCUUAGAGGAGUUGGAAAUGUAAUAGCGAGCCUGACUCCAUCUUGUGCCUCAAAUAUCAGUUUGUACCUGCCUUAGAACAAAGUGAUUGCACUUGAACAAAGCACCCAAAACCCACACAUCCUGCUUGGCAGUAAUCUUGCUACAUUUGCUGGAUGUUCUCCUAGUGAACUUUCUUGUGCCCACUAACCUGGCAUAUUUCUGCUUCUGUAAGAUUCCUCUUGCUCUCCCCAGAUGCCUCCCCAACCAAAAAUAUGAUUUAAAAGGAGAAAUCAAACUGCUUCUCAUUGCUGAGGAAACUUCUGGGCAUUAGCCACCCUCAUCCACCAGUAUAAUAAAGGACUUGAAUCUGGCAAGGAGAGUGGCGCAUCUCUAUUGUUCAAACUCACUCAUCCGUAACACUCCGAACCUG